UACGUAGGGUGCGAGCGUUGUCCGGAAUUAUUGGGCGUAAAGAGCUCGUAGGCGGUUUGUCGCGUCGACUGUGAAAACCCGAGGCUUAACCUCGGGCCUGCAGUCGAUACGGGCAGACUAGAGUUCGGUAGGGGAGACUGGAAUUCCUGGUGUAGCGGUGAAAUGCGCAGAUAUCAGGAGGAACACCGGUGGCGAAGGCGGGUCUCUGGGCCGAUACUACGUUGAGGAGCGAAAAAGCGUGGGGGGGAGCAAACAGG
rnacentral:rRNA from 1 species